rnacentral:rRNA from 1 species
UUGAACGCUGGCGGAAUGCUUUACACAUGCAAGUCGGGCGGCAGCGCGGGGGCAACCCUGGCGGCGAGCGGCGAACGGGUGAGUAACAUAUCGGAACGUACCCAGACGUGGGGGACAACUAGUCGAAAGACUAGCUAAUACCGCAUACGUCCUGAGGGAGAAAGCGGGGGAUCGCAAGACCUCGCGCGUUUGGAGCGGCCGAUAUCUGAUUAGCUAGAUGGUGGGGUAAAGGCCCACCAUGGCGACGAUCAGUAGCUGGUCUGCGAGGAUGAUCAGCCACACUGGAACUGAGACACGGUCCAGACUCCUACGGGAGGCAGCAGUGGGGAAUUUUGGACAAUGGGGGCAACCCUGAUCCAGCCAUUCCGCGUGAGUGAAGAAGGCCUUCGGGUUGUAAAGCUCUUUCAGCAGGAACGAAACGGUGGCCCCUAAUACGGGCUACUAAUGACGGUACCUGAAGAAGAAGCACCGGCUAACUACGU